rnacentral:rRNA from 1 species
AAGCGCUUGCAACCAGACUUGAGCGCGGCGGUUCCCCCUCGCUUCUGCUUGGGCUACUCCGCCGUGUCCAGGCCAACAUCGGUUCUGGGGGCCGGUUAAAGGCCCUGGCAAUGUAUCUACCCCCGGGUAGACUUAUAGGCCAGGGUGUCAUGCGGCCUCCCGGGACCGAGGAACGCGCUUCGGCUCGGAUGUUGGCGUAAUGGUUGUCAGC